AAGCGGAGGAGCAUGUGGUUUAAUUCGAUGAUACGCGAGGAACCUUACCUGGGCUCGAACGUAAGAUGACUGUAGGUGAAAGCUUACAUCUCUUCGGAGCAUUUUACGAGGUGCUGCAUGGUUGUCGUCAGCUCGUGCCGUGAGGUGUCGGGUUAAGUCCCAUAACGAGCGCAACCCUUGUCCUUAGUUACCAGCACGUUAUGGUGGGCACUCUAAGGAGACUGCCGGUGACAAACCGGAGGAAGGUGGGGAUGACGUCAAGUCAUCAUGGCCCUUACGGCCUGGGCUACACACGUGCUACAAUGGUCGGUACAAAGGGUUGCCAAGCCGCGAGGUGGAGCUAAUCCCAUAAAACCGAUCGUAGUCCGGAUCGCAGUCUGCAACUCGACUGCGUGAAGUCGGAAUCGCUAGUAAUCGUGAAUCAGAAUGUCACGGUGAAUACGUUCCCGGGCCUU
rnacentral:rRNA from 1 species